rnacentral:lncRNA from 1 species
UCCAGUGCUGCAGUCGCUAUGACCAGAAAUAAAAGAGUUCUUUUUGUUUGUUCCUUUCGUGGCCUUGACGACGUUCUCGGGAGAAGCAGCUCAAUAGUCAAUAUCAGAUGGUUCUAGAAGAGUUGCUUCAUAAGUACCACUGCUGUGAUCUUUUCUGUAGGUUCCCAUGACAAUGCUAUAGGGGCUUUGUUUGUUCAUGGGAACUUGAGGAACACAGGGAAUUCUUGUUCAAUAAUGAACGCAAUGCGGCUUGGAAAAGACUCUUGGUAGACACGAACAAAAAAGUAUAGCCAGAGCAGCCUUCAGAAAUCAUUCCUGCAGUUUUUGGAAGCGUUUCUCAAGGUCUGAAUGGAGGCUGUGAAGUUACUAACAAAAUGAACAGGCUCUGCUUUUCAUAAUUGGCUUCAUGACUGUGGGUUUUGGCAACAACUCUAGAGGAACACAGGGCCCGGAAGAGGGGCACAAUGAAGCCACUCACUGUAAUAACUUAAGCAACAACAAUGCACCUUUUCAGAUUAAUGCCAAGAAAAUAUAUGCAGAAGAGACACCCAUGUCAUUGAACAAGAGGUUCUAAUAUUACAUAACAGGGUAGUGGUAUGUAGCUGUAGUGGUAUGUGCUCUCUCUCAAUGCUGAGCUGCAGCUCCCAGUCAGCCACUGGAUCAUGAGGGUAAAAUACGGAUACUUGACAUCUUCUUAAAGAACAUCAUGCCUGCUAAGCCAUCCAGUUUGGAUGCCCCAGUGCCUUCCACCAGCCAUUCUCAAGCCUCAUUAGAAGAGAGAGAUUGAUGACCCUGUAGCUGCAGCAUCCCAUCAUCCUGCAUUUUAGUUCAAUGCUUCAAACGUUCUUCAGGCCCAGUGUGCUUUCAGCUGUGUAUGUUAAUGGGAGAGUGAGCAAGUUUCGUCCUUGUGCCUGCAUCUGCUGGGAAACGAUAAGAGCCCAACAUAUGUUAGAAGCAACAAUCGCAGACAAAGAGUACAACUUGUUUUUGAAGGUGCAUCUCCUGCUGUUCCCAAUCUACUCAUCCUAGGAACCAACUCAGGUCAGGAGAAGCAAGGAAAGCCUUACAACCUGUUACUGACCGGAGGGGAUGAAGGAGACAGGGAAACUACAACACAUGGAAUGUGGUAUCCUGAAUGGGACCCUGGAACCAAAGAAUGACACUGGGGAAGAACUGCUGAAAUUCAAGUAAAAUGUGGAGUCUCGUUAGUGGCAAUGUACCAAGGCUACAAACCUGUACAGCAUGUGAUUCUACUGAAUAUACGGGCAAUUGUUAACACAAUGAUGUGAUGACUGAUUUCCAGCAGCUGAAGGGAAGUCUUUUGGAUUAACUUUUGUGAUUGAUUUGCUCUGGGUUCAGUCAGCCUGCAAGG